AGUUCUAGGUCAGUUUCUGAAUGCGGUGUAUACUUCUACACCACAGAAGGAUGGGGCCAAUCAGAGCCCCCAACGAACCAACUGUUGUUACUAAACUGAGUGGAAAUGCUAAGUCACAUAAUAGGUGACUAAUAAGCGCCCUAUAAUUCUUCACUAGCCAUGAUCUAAAUAUGAAGCAAUAGCAUCAUCUCGACCUUAAGAAAACUCUGGCAUAUCUGACUUCAAACCAUAGUAGAGAUAUGAGUUAUAAACUACUCAUGACUCUAUAUGACAACUACAUAUUUGGAACAAAAAGUGAA